rnacentral:rRNA from 1 species
UACGGAGGGUGCAAGCGUUAUCCGGAUUUACUGGGCUUAAAGGGUGUGUAGGCGGGCUUUUAAGUCAGUGGUGAAAUCUCCGGGCUCAACCUGGAAACUGCCAUUGAUACUAUUAGGCUUGAAUUCUGUUGAGGUAGGCGGAAUAAGUCAUGUAGCGGUGAAAUGCUUAGAUAUGACUUAGAACACCAAUUGCGAAGGCAGCUUACUAAACAGAUAUUGACGCUGAGGCACGAAAGCGUGGGGAGCAAACAGG